rnacentral:lncRNA from 1 species
AAGAUUGAAAAAAAAACAUGAAGAAAUUAUAAACUAACUUUAAAGAAAUAUAUAUAUAAAAAAAUAAUCUUAAAAAUAUAACAAAGGUAUCUUUAAAUAUUAAAAAUAAAAAUUCAAAAACCUUAAUCAAAUCUUAGAUUAAAUCCUAAAUCCUAAUCAAAUCCUAAUCCUAACCAAAUCCUAAUCCUAACCAAAUCUUAAUCUUAAUAAAAUCCUAAU